rnacentral:rRNA from 1 species
CGGCACGGGUGAGUAACACGUAUGCAACCUGCCUGCCGACAGCCGGAUAAUCGGGAGAAAUUCCGUCUAAUACGGCAUAAUGCAUCGACGGGACAUCCUGUUGGUGACCAAAGGUUAAUUCCGGUGGCGGAUGGGCAUGCGUCGCAUUAGUUAGUUGGCGGUGUAACGGACCACCAAGACGACGAUGCGUAGGGGUUCUGAGAGGAAGGUCCCCCACACUGGUACUGAGACACGGACCAGACUCCUACGGAAGGCAGCAG